UCUACGACAGCAAAGACAGACACAGAAUAUGAGAGAGCGGCUGCUGAUGUUAAACUUGAGCAGACGCACGUGCAUCUGCCUCAGAGACUACAAUACCUAAACACUAACAAUCCUCCUCCAAGCCCAGUCAAGGCCAUGGGCUUGUGUGUUACACAUGAAAAUAGAAGCAAACCCUCUGUUAAAGGUAACAACAGUUGUCUAGUUUUAUUGGGGCUCUGGCAGUUUGGGGAAUCUAAAUUGAAGCACGCUUUGCUUCAGUUUCCCAUCCAUCUACAAAUGGUCCCCGGCAUUACUCCUCUGGGGGAGACGUGCAGUGCAUGCAUUACUGUCAUCCAACAGCCAGGCAGCCACGAGCCUUGGGUGGGGGGCACUGUCAGAGUAAAUGCUCUGCAGGAGCAACGAGGGGAUGAAGGAAAGAACUUCUAGAAUGGAAACACAGCAGAGAAGGGAAGGGAAGGGGAGGGGAGGGAAAGAAGAGAGAGAGAGAAAACAAAGAAAGAGAAAGAGAGAGAGAAAGAAAGAGAGAGGAUCGGCAGUGGUGUCUCACGCCUAUAAUCCCAGCACUUUGGGAGGCCGAGGUGGGCAGAUCACGUGAGGUCAGGAGUUAAGAGACCAGCCUGGCCAACACGGUGAAACCUUGUCUUUACAACAAUACAAAAAUUAGCCAGGCAUGAUGGCAGGUAAUCCCAGCUACUCGGGAGGCUGAGGAGGGAGAAUCGCUUGAACCUGGGAGGUGGAGGUUGCAGUGAGCUGAGAUCGCGCCAUUGCACUCCAGCCUGGGUGACAAGAGCAAGACUCUGUCAGGAAAGGGAAAGGGAAAGGGAAAGGAAGGGAAGGGAAGGGAAAGGGAAGGGAAGGGAAGGGAAAGGAGGGAGAGAGAGAGAAGGAGAGAGAAAGAGAAAGGGAGAGAGACAGAGAGAAAGAAAAGAAAAGAAAAAAGGAGGGAGGGAGCGAGGGAGGAAGGAAGGAAGGAAGGUAGGGGGGAGAGACAGAGAGGGAGAGGGAGGAAGGAGGAAGGAGAGGGACAGGGGGAGGAGGGAGGGAGAGAGGGAGGAAAGGAGGAAGGAAGGACAGAUGGAAGGAAGGAAGGAAGGAAGGGAAAUCUGAACUCAGUGCUGAACUGGGAUGAAAAUGAUCAAGAAAAGAAAUCUCUAACCAUGCCCCUUCCUCCCGGCCACACCCUGCCCUUCUCCUGACCCUCCUGAUCCUCCUGAUCCUCUAGAGACAAACUCUCCCACCAGAAGGACAAGCAAUUUCCUCUGUACUUCAGAUCCUGGGCAACCAUAGCCUGUCGUUCCCAGCCCAAGUGUUGGAAACUGGACUCCUUUUUAGGUAAAACAUUACGUUUGAAUUCUAAGGUUCCUUUCUCAAAGCCAAUAUUCCCGCCAGCUCUUGGAGAUUCCCCAGUUCUUUUUUUUUUUUUUUUAAUUCCUCAAAUAACGUAAUAAUACAUGGAACAUGAGACUACUUGAAAUGAGAAGACAGCGCAGAGGACUGAAUAUGGAAAUCAAUGACUUUUUUCAAUAUGUAAAAUUACUGAGACAUUGUAGAACUUUGAUACCAUGCAAAGAAUAUUCUUCGCUGUAAUUCAGAAAGUGGUUAGAAGUUUCAAGAGCCCUUCGGUUUUGCUGUAUGUCAACACAGGGUGGACACCAUUGAAAGGUACAAUCGACCCUUAGAAGUUUAUAAACAGCAACUUUGGACUUCUGUUCCACUUGGAAUCUGAAAUCUGUGGUGUGGAGCAAUAAUUUUAACUUGGGAAGCUUACUCAUCGUACACAGCACAGAACAGGGUUUGUUUCAUACAAACACUGUCAAGAACCCUAAGGAAACGAAGUUCUGAAGUCCAGCUGGAGGCAGGUGAAAGUCUUUUUGUCUCUGCUUGGAAGUCUCACAGCACAAUCCAAGAUGGCCACAGUUUUUGUAAGCUGUUUAUCUUACAUUUGUUUAACAUCAAAAUCAUAAAGGUCCUAUCUUAAUGACACAUACAAAUUUAACAAAAUACUUUUCCGGUUCUCAUUAUUAUAUCUUUGGAUGACUUCUUUUCCUUGGGUGUCUUUUAAGUCCCCAACAUUAAAAGGAGCAAAUUUCUAGCAAAAUGAAAUUCAUGUGUAUCUGAACUCCAACAACACCAUCUAUUAGAAGACCUUACAAUUUAAAUAGGAAUUGAGAUCACAGCAUAUUUCAACUAAUAAUGCUUAACUGUGCAUCAGUUUAGCUUAAAAUGGCAAAGUAGAGCCCAGUCUUAUAAAAAUAGAACUACAAUGACUAUAAUGAAUUUGUCAUGGUACUUUUUCUUUCUUGAUUUAAUUUUUUGUUCCUUGAUUUCUUUCCUGGUUUCUGAGUUAAAUCUUCUAACAGUAAUAUAUCAAACUCAAACUAUUUUGCAACAGACAUGAAUCAGCAUCUUUGUUCCACAUGACCCAAUGACCAAAAUGACCAACUCCAUGAAGAAGACUUCAGAGUGAUUUAUUCCCUACCUAAUUAGCUCAUGGGUUGACCAGCACACCUCUACAUGAAAUGUCCCUUUGCGAAACAUUGAUAUCCCAAUGUUCACUAUUUAAAUGCUUUCUUUCUUCUUCUUCUUCUUUUUUUUUUUUUUUUUUCAUUUUGAGGCAGAGUCUCACUCUGUCGCCCAGGCUGGAAUGCAAUGGCAUGAUCAUGGCUCACUGUGACCUCCGCCUCCUGGGUUCAAGUGAUUCUCCUGCCUCAGUUUCCUGAGUAGCUGGGAUUACAGGCUUGUGCCACCACGCCUGGCUAAUUUUUGUAUUUUUAGUAGAGACAGGGUUUCACCAUGUCGGCCAGCCUGGUCUUGAACUCCUGACAUCAAGUGAUCUGCCCGCCUUGGCCUCCCAAAAUGUGGUGAUUACAGGCAUGAACAACCACAUACGGCUCUAUUUAAAUGCUUUCUGAAAGUAGAUUCAAAUAAACACAAUUUCCAAAUCCACAGGGACAAAGCAGUAAGGGAAACUCAGCUAUGAUCAUUUCUCAUGCCUGUCCAUUCACCUUCCAUAGUAGCACUACCUGGGAAGAAUGAGUGUGCAUCAGGCAAGGUGAGAUGAAUAUCUACCCGACAUUAACUUCCCACGAUUCCACUCCUAUAUAAGAGGCAGGUAUAUUCUCUUUUUCUUCCACACAUGCUUUCUGUGGCAUACUAACCAGCAACUAUACUCUUUACCCAUUGUUUUCCAAAUUUAAUAGUACCUUGGAAAAAAUGUCCAAGUUUUAUAACACUAAGAAGUUUAUAAGAAUCCAAAUAUCAUUUUUAUUUUGGUUCUUGUAUGUAGACCAGAAUAUUCUGCAAUGCAGUCCACUGUAAUUUACAGUGCUAUCUAGAGUUGGCAUAAGCUUAAAGGGAAAGAGCCCCAGAUUUUAAAAAUGCAGCAGAAAAAAGCCCAUCUUAAGACAAUACUGACUUCCUCCAAAUUAAGAAAAGAAAUUCCCUACUGUGAUGGUUACUACUGAGUGUCAACUUGAUUGGAUUGAAGGAUACAAAGUAUUGGUCCUGGGUGUGUCUGUGAGGGUGUUGCCAAAGGAGAUUAACGUUUGAGUCAGUGGGCUGGGAAAUGCAGACCCACCCUUAAUCUGGGUGGGCACAAUCUAAUCAGCUGCCAGUGCAGCUAGGAUACAAGCAGGCAGAAAAAUGUGAAAAGAGAGACUGGCCUAGCCUCCCAGCCUCCAUCUUUCUCCCAUACUGGAUGCUUCCUGCCCUCGAACAUCAGGCUCCAAGUUCUUCAGUUUUGGAACUCAGACUGGCUCUCCUUGCUCCUCAGACUGCAGAUGGCCUAUUGUGGGACCUUAUGAUCAUGUGAAUUAAUACUUAAUAAACUCCCCUCUAUCUAUCUAUCUAUCUAUCUAUCUAUCUAUCUAUCUAUCUAUCCAUCCAUCCAUCCCAUUAGUUCUGUCCCUCUAGAGAACCCUGACCAAUACACCUACCAUAUAAUGCCAAGAGUUCGCCACUGCCUGGCUUGGCUCUAGUUUCUCAUAAGUGACCAGAGAGAGGGGAAAGGCUCACAGUCACUAGAGGUGGAAGGGAUGGGCAGAGACCAAUGGUGAUGCUGAAAGCAACAGGAGAUGUCCACGCUGCAGGUCAGGGAUGCCACGUUUAUCUGAUGAAGCGACAUUUAGAAACGGGAAGAGUGUUUUGCAAGCUUAUGGUGGUAUCCUCUAUGAGUUACCUUGGAAAGCUGUAUCUAGUGGGUAGCAUAUUUAUUACCCGAGAACCAAGUUGAAAAGCUAGGGAAGAAGAUUCCAUUUUCUUCUCACCCUGCAGUCAGUCAGGGAAAAAUUGGGGCAAGUAAUUUUCCUUCUCAGUGAUUCCUGGUUCUUUUGUGUAAAACAGGUGACAACAUCAAAACUACCUGCAAGUCUCACUUCAUGGAACACAACAGAAACUCUGCAUAAGAAAAAAGGAAAUCCACAAAGCUUGUAGAAUGCCAGGGUCUCUCACUGUUGUCCAGGAUGAAGUGCAGUGGUGUGAUCAUAACUCACUGCAGCCUUGAACUCCUGGGCUCAAUGGAUCCUCCCACCUCGGCCUCCCAAAGUGCUGGGACUACAGGCGUGAGCCACCGUGCCUGGCUGGUUCUACCCUUUUCACUGUGAGUUUCUUGCAUCAAGAGGGCUUUGUGUUUCCCAGAGGCCCAGCAUACAGGGUGCCUGGGGGUUGGCUCCACAGACAGGGAUGGCUGCCAUCUGUGCCACCAGACACCCACGCAGUACAAUCAACCCUCUUCUUGGCCACCAUCUGCCAACACGGGGCCCAGCUGGACAACUUCUGGUUUGGUUUAAACUAGGAGAAUGUCAGGAACUAUUUCCCACCCUUGGCAUUAGAAUGAAGAACGACCGCUGCAAACUGGUUUAAUUCAAAGUCAACGAGAGACUUACCCAUGGCUGCUCCCGCUGAAAUCUGCUGCCAGAUGGUGUUGUGCUAUUCAGGUAAUUAGACAGACACCCAGAAAAAUUACAAUGUGAAUAUCUUCUGAACGAAAAGUAAUCAAAUAUUAAAGUGUAAUUUCAAAAAAACCUAA